AUUGAACGCUGGCGGCAGGCCUAACACAUGCAAGUCGAGCGGAGCGACGGACGGGUGAGUAAUGACUAGGAAUCUGCCUGGCCGUGGGGGAUAACGUACGGAAACGGGCGCGAAUACCGCACACUAUCAGAUGAGCCUAGUUCGGAUUAGCUAGGUGGUGGGGUAAGGGCCUACCAAGGCGACGAUCCGUAACUGGUCUGAGAGGAUGAUCAGUCAGCCUGGAACUGAGACACGGUCCAGACUCCUACGGGAGGCAGCAGUGGGGAAUAUUGGACAAUGGGCUAAAGCCUGAUCCAGCCAUGCCGCGUGUGUGAAGAAGGUCUUCGGAUUGUAAAGCACUUUAAGUUGGGAGGCGUUACCAACAGAAUAAGCACCGGCUAACUCCGUGCCAGCAGCCGCGGUAAUUC
rnacentral:rRNA from 1 species